rnacentral:rRNA from 1 species
GCCUACGGGAGGCAGCAGUAGGGAAUCUUCCACAAUGGGCGAGAGCCUGAUGGAGCAACGCCGCGUGGGUGAAGAAGGUCUUCGGAUCGUAAAACCCUGUUGUUAGAGAAGAAAGUGCGUGAGGGUAACUGUUCACGUUUCGACGGUAUCUAACCAGAAAGCCACGGCUAACUACGUGCCAGCAGCCGCGGUAAUACGUAGGUGGCAAGCGUUAUCCGGAUUUAUUGGGCGUAAAGGGAACGCAGGCGGUCUUUUGAGUCUGAUGUGAAAGCCUUCGGCUUAACCGGAGUAGUGCAUUGGAAACU